rnacentral:rRNA from 1 species
AAAAGAAACCAACAGGGAUUGCCCUAGUAACGGCGAGUGAAGCGGCAACAGCUCAAAUUUGAAAUCUGGCUCUUUCAGAGUCCGAGUUGUAAUUUGCAGAGGGCGCUUUGGCUUUGGCAGCGGUCCAAGUUCCUUGGAACAGGACGUCACAGAGGGUGAGAAUCCCGUACGUGGUCGCUAGCUAUUGCCGUGUAAAGCCCCUUCGACGAGUCGAGUUGUUUGGGAAUGCAGCUCUAAAUGGGAGGUAAAUUUCUUCUAAAGCUAAAUAUUGGCCAGAGACCGAUAGCGCACAAGUAGAGUGAUCGAAAGAUGAAAAGCACUUUGGAAAGAGAGUCAAACAGCACGUGAAAUUGUUGAAAGGGAAGCGCUUGCAGCCAGACUUGCUUGCAGUUGCUCAUCCGGGCUUUUGCCCGGUGCACUCUUCUGCAGGCAGGCCAGCAUCAGUUUGGGCGGUGGGAUAAAGGUCUCUGUCACGUACCUCUCUUCGGGGAGGCCUUAUAGGGGAGACGACAUACCACCAGCCUGGACUGAGGUCCGCGCAUCUGCUAGGAUGCUGGCGUAAUGGCUGUAAGCGGCCCGUCUUGAAACACGGACCAAGGAGUCUAACAUCUAUGCGAGUGUUUGGGUGUCAAGCCCGAACGCGUAAUGAAAGUGAACGGAGGUGGGAACCCGCAAGGGCGCACCAUCGACCGAUCCUGAAGUUUACGGAAGGAUUUGAGUAAGAGCAUGGCUGUUGGGACCCGAAAGAUGGUGAACUAUGCUUGAAUAGGGUGAAGCCAGAGGAAACUCUGGUGGAGGCUCGCAGCGGUUCUGACGUGCAAAUCGAUCGUCAAAUUUGGGCAUAGGGGCGAAAGACUAA